UACGAAGGGGGCUAGCGUUGUUCGGAUUUACUGGGCGUAAAGCGCACGUAGGCGGAUCGUUAAGUUAGGGGUGAAAUCCUGGAGCUCAACUCCAGAACUGCCUUUAAUACUGGCGAUCUCGAGUCCGGAAGAGGUGAGUGGAACUCCUAGUGUAGAGGUGGAAUUCGUAGAUAUUAGGAAGAACACCAGUGGCGAAGGCGGCUCACUGGUCCGGUACUGACGCUGAGGUGCGAAAGCGUGGGGAGCAAACAGGG
rnacentral:rRNA from 1 species